rnacentral:rRNA from 1 species
UACGGAGGGCGCGAGCGUUGAUCGGAAUUACUGGGCGUAAAGCGCGCGUAGGCUGUUGUGUAAGUUGGGGGUGAAAUCCCACGGCUCAACCGUGGAACAGCCCUUGAUACUGCGCGACUUGAAUCCGGGAGAGGGUGGCGGAAUUCCAGGUGUAGGAGUGAAAUCCGUAGAUAUCUGGAGGAACAUCAGUGGCGAAGGCGGCCACCUGGACCGGUAUUGACGCUGAGGCGCGAAAGCGUGGGGAGCAAACAGG